rnacentral:rRNA from 1 species
CCUACGGGAGGCAGCAGUGAGGAAUAUUGGUCAAUGGACGAGAGUCUGAACCAGCCAAGUAGCGUGAAGGAUGACUGCCCUAUGGGUUGUAAACUUCUUCCAUCUGGGAAUAAAAUGUUCCACGUGUGGGAUUUUGUAUGUACCAUAUGAAUAAGGAUCGGCUAACUCCGUGCCAGCAGCCGCGGUAAUACGGAGGAUCCGAGCGUUAUCCGGAUUUAUUGGGUUUAAAGGGAGCGUAGGUGGAUUGUUAAGUCAGUUGUGAAAGUUUGCGGCUCAACCGUAAAAUUGCAGUUGAAACUGGCAGUCUUGAGUACAGUAGAGGUGGGCGGAAUUCGUGGUGUAGCGGUGAAAUGCUUAGAUAUCACGAAGAACUCCGAUUGCGAAGGCAGUUCACUGGACUGCAACUGACACUGAGGCUCGAAAGUGUGGGUAUCAAACAGGAUUAGAUACCCCAGUAGUC